AAGCCAAAUUACUCCAUAUUUAUUGAGGUUUAUUGCAAAAAAACUGUUUUUGAUGUAUUUCUGGGAGAAGCCAGAAUUGAUAUGACAGAUCUGACUAAAGAUGAAGAAAGCUGUGAUGAGAAAGCACAAAAUGCAGAAAAUGGUGAAGAAAGAAAUUUGCAACUCUACGCCAAACAAAGAAGAGGCUCAUUUCCCAGAGAGAAUCCAGGGAAACUCUUUGUCUUCUUUCGAUCGUCAAGCGACCUUCAAGCUCUGUAACAAAGAAGUCCUACUCUAACAUGGAAGUCCUACUCUGUAACAAUGAAGUCCUACUCUGUAACAAAAAGUAAUACCCUAUAACAAUGAAGUCCUACUCUGUAACAAAGAAGUCCUACUCUGUAACAAAGAAAGAAGUCCUACUCUGUAACAUGGGAUAAAUUCAUAAAUUUCAAACACUAUGUUGGAAAUGAAGAUUAUGUCUUAGCCCAAACCUGGAAUUGAAGCAGACAAGUUUGAACUCAAUAUCAUUGUGACCACAUUUCAAAUAAACGCACAGCCAGGUAGACUAGACUUAAACUCUGUGAUCUCAACACUAAGUCUACCAGUACAUUCAAUCUGAUUGAUUUCUACAAUUUGAAUGGAUUGGAUUAGAACUGAACGAAUAUUUUCUCUAUUUAUAUUGUACAUGAUUGAUUUAUUUAGAUAAUAGCUUUACCUAAAGUACAUUCAAUCUGAUUGAUUUCUACAAUUUGAAUGGAUUGGAUUAGAACAGAACGAAUAUUUUCUCUAAAUAUAUUGUACAUGAUUGAUUUAUUAGAUUAUAGCUUUACCUCAAGUAAAACAUACUAAAUUUGUGUUAAGUUCUAGAAUACUUUGUUGAAUAAAAGCUAGAAACAUGCAUUUAAAAUAUGUAUGAUAAUUACAACUAUGUUUUACAACAAGUUAGAAUAAGAUAAGCUGCAAACAUUUAUAUAUGUACUUAUAAAAUUAAGCAUACAAAUAGUUUUUAUUUGCUGACCAAUAUAAACAUUUUUUUUUAAGUUGUAUACCAGUACUAAUUUUUGCCUUGUUUGAUUGUUUUAUGGUUAAAUAAUUUUUAUGCCACUUCAUAUAAUACUUACUAAUUAAUAUGGCUAUUUAACAUAUAUGCUUAUAAAGUUUUGAAGAUGCAGAGGCUUUUUUUUUCUAAUUGCUGUUUAUGUUGUUAGAAUAAAGCACCUCACACUAGAGAGUUAGAUUAGAAAUCUUUGAGCUAUAAAUAUGUAAAAACUAAAUCUUAUUACUUGUAAUGUAUUUAUAGCUGUUUAACCUUUACCGAGCAUUGACUGAAUUGAUUUAUCCUAAACUGACUAAUACUCAUUACUAAACUAUAUUUAUCUGCAAUUUAUCAGAAUGUAACUAUUUCAUUUUUUUUAUUUAUUCAUGAACUAGAAAUGAAAUAUAAAAAAUCAAACAAAG
rnacentral:sRNA from 1 species